rnacentral:tRNA from 1 species
ACCCGACAAGGAAUUUUGCUACCUUAGGACCGUUUAAAAUACAGCCGCCGUUUAUCAUUGAUGCCGGG